rnacentral:rRNA from 1 species
AGCGAACGCUGGCGGCAGGCCUAACACAUGCAAGUCGAACGAACCCUUCGGGGUUAGUGGCGGACGGGUGAGUAACACGUGGGAACGUGCCUUUAGGUUCGGAAUAACUCAGGGAAACUUGUGCUAAUACCGAAUGUGCCCUUCGGGGGAAAGAUUUAUCGCCUUUAGAGCGGCCCGCGUCUGAUUAGCUAGUUGGUGGGGUAAUGGCCCACCAAGGCUCCGAUCCUUAGCUGGUCUGAGAGGAUGAUCAGCCACACUGGGACUGAGACGCGGCCCAGACUCCUACGGGAGGCAGCAGUGGGGAAUCUUGCGCAAUGGGCGAAAGCCUGACACAGCCAUGCCGCGUGAAUGAUGAAGGUCUUAGGAUUGUAAAAUUCUUUCACCGGGGACGAUAAUGACGGUACCCGGAGAAGAAGCCCCGGCUAACUUCGUGCCAGCCGCCGCAGUAACAC